CCAUUCCCAAUCAUGAAUCUCGGAAUCUUGUUGAUGCAAAGACAAGGCUACAGGUUGUACAUGCAGAGCAAAUUUUUGACAUAGUUUAUGAUAUUCAUACAAAGGAACUCAAUCAUGCAGGCUACAAAAAAGUCCUAGAGUAUGUUCAGCGAUACUACUAUGGUAUUACUAGAGGCUUCUUGCAAGAAUUUACGCGAACCUGUCCAUGGUGUGCACAGUUGAGGCCAACUACAAUCAUUUCUACAAAACAGUUUCACAGU